AAAAAUUGGAAAUCAUACAGUGAUCACGCAUAUUUUAAAAAUACAUGGAAAUAAAAUUGUUAUUUGAUUCCCAGACUGAGUUCUAAAUUUGCUCUAGUUUAUUUACAGAAAAAAAAAGACUUUUUGAUCCUGAAACAUGAACCAUCUGUGCCUGUACGAGGCUGAGAAUGGAAGAGUUUCAGGAAGUCUUACGUUCAGCAGGACUGAUUUCCUCGACAGCUCCUGGAGCUUCCUUGAUAUUGUCACAAGCAGAGCACGUCACACGGUAGGACCCUCCCGGAUGCAGGGUGUAGCCCAGUCCCAUGUGGAAUACCUUCCCUGGGACCAUCUCAAGCCUGCGCCUGCCACUGAAGCCCCCUCAGCCUCUGCAGCGGGGCCGCUCGUCCAUCACCAUCUAAGGACGAGCACCCUCAGGAGCCCGACUGACGAAUGCACUCAUGAGAUGAGGAGCCUUAGCGUGAUUUGUUGUCUAGAAACAGACAACUGUCAGUUGUAAUGCAUCCAUUCCAGGCAGGACGCCAGCAUCCAAUACGAUGAUCACAGUUUACCUAGAAACACCUAGAGACACCACUUUCCUUUUCGCUUAAAGUUGGAUCUCACAUUAGCAUACAGCUAUACAAGUGUGGAUGUGUGUGUGCAUGGUUAGUGCUUGGACUCAGAGCCCCACAGCCCAGGAGGAAACUGACACCCACAGCAUAAUCAUUAGGCCCACAAACUGUCAAAGACUGUUACGGCUGUUUCUAGAUGUGCCCGAAAGCCUCAUGCAGUCACAGGUGAGGCUUUUUCAGAGGGGGCUGGAUCUAGAGUGAGUGACGCUGGGACUGAUUCAUGGUGUAGCGCUGUGUGAGUGCUACCUGCCCUGCCAGUCUAGGUAAGAUAAAAGGGGCAGGGAGAUCCUGUUAAGGUCCCUUGCUUGUUUUGCUACCUUCUGGCUGCCAUGAACUGUUUCUCCUCUACGGUGCCUCUGUGCCACGGAGCCAGUCAAGUAUGGAUUGAAACUUCUACAAACUGAGCUAUAUAAACCUUUCCCCCUGUAACUUUGGGUGUUGGGUAUUUUUGUCUCAGCAACAAGAAAAGUCACUAGGACACUAUUGCUUAUUAAACUGGGGGGCAUGGGGUUCUCUUUUCCUGGGGACCCAUUGCCUUGUUGGCUCUGAGAUUUCUGGAAGGGGUUGGGUCUGUGCCCAGGAGUGGUCAGGAAGCAAGGUCUCCCUUCGGACACCUUCUGGUUGGAGCGCCCUGCUCUCUCUUAGUGCAAUCUCUCCCCUCCUUGGGCUGGAAGAGAAAUAUUCCUGGGAAGGUUAUUGGCCCACCUCUGGCAUGAAAGGAAGGUGUUCAGGCCCUUUGCCUCCAAACGGUCAGAGGAGUCCCAGCUGUCAAAGCUGGCAAGUGGCUGCUCAGAACUUAGAUGUCUGUAGACUUAAGAGUGUUUUGAGCAUUUAGUGCCAAAAUGUAUAUAUUUUAGUAAAUUUAUAUCGAUGACAUGUAAUGAGAAUAUUAUGGAUACGGUGGGUCACUACACUCCCAAGUGUUUAACUUUUAAAAUGUUAAUUCUAGGAAAUUUAAAAUCACACGUAUUCCACUCUUCUUGUUUGUACUAGACAUUGCUGUCUGAGGGGAAGGAUUCCCCUCUGAAAGCCCAAGCUGUACUCCCAGACCAGAGAGUGGAAAAGUUAACUAUUAGGGGUUGAAUGCACUGAGCUACUUCCCCAGAUCUUUUUCAUGUGUUAUUUUUGUAGGACCCCAACCGCUGCGUAGGCCCUAGACAGUCUGCAUGUAACAAAGUACGUUCCAUUCUACUCUGCUCCCUCCCAUCUACAGAUAAGAUUAGAAGGAAGUGUAUGUAAACUUGGUACGAGCAAACAAAGGUAAUGUCUUAGGACUUUGAUCAAGACAGGGCAUCCUGAGUCUGGGGUGACCAACGCAGGAUGCCAGACGUGUCAUAAACCAGACCCCCUAAGGGAUAGCAGGAAACUGACCCCCUUGCCCUCUUACUGUGCUUACCAUCCUCUCCACUGGUCUUCACAAAGGGACUCCAUGCUAAUAGGCCAGACUGUGCUUCUUCAUAUGCUAAUUGUUACCUUGGUUAACAGCCCGCCCAGAGGUAAAUGGUUUGACAAAAGGUGACAGUAGAACCUUUCCUGCAUAAGAUAAACAAUGUGUUUGCAGUCUUGUUCUGUGAAUUCCCUGACUCUUUGUUUAGAAAAACCUUAUAAAAGGUACCUCAGCCCCUGAGCAGAUGCCUCUCUGAGCGACCUGGCUCUGGGAGUGCCGUCUGGCCAGACUAAUAAAGGUCUCUUUACCAUCUAACCUGGUGUGUUCUUUCCUGGGUUUCUCGUUUCUCCGUCGAGCUCCCGGAGCCUCGCUGGGUGUUAGGGCCCAGCAUCGUGGAGGCCUUUUUGGCUGUUCACGCUCCGUGGAGUGGAAGUGAGGCUUUAGGUCUUACAAUUUUGAAACAGGGUUUCCUUCUGUCACCCAGGCUGGGCUUCAACUUGUGACCUUCUUGCCUCAGCGCUCCAGAGUGCUGGGAUUGAAGGCAUCUGCCACCACACCUGGCUUGUGAGAUUUUAAAACAACUGUCAUUACAUUCUUUCCAUUUGUAAACAACACACGCAUAUUUCUAAAUCGAUAUGCCUUUAUAUACGAGGAUAAAUGCAAAUGUGUUCUUGGUGGGCUCUGUCCCUCCACGUGGACAAGUCCUGUCUUAAAACAGCUGCAGCUAAAACCUGGCUUCAACCAGCAGCUUUCCAAAAAAACAAAACAAAAACCAAAACAACAACAAAAAAACCACAAAGCCAAAAAACCAAAACAUCCAGGAAGUCUUCCUAGUCCUCGUUCAGCGGUGGGUUGGUGCCCUCUACUGUCACUCAGACCAUGAGGCGGGAGCCCGGAGCCCCGUCCAAUCAGGCGCGCAGCCGGAGUACAGAGGCGGGCCUUUGCGGUGCGCCCUUCCGCGUCCUGGCUGUGAGUGGCAGCUGCGUCUCCGGAGCGGCCGGGUCCCAGUGCCCUGAGGGAGCGGCGCCCCCCGGA
rnacentral:lncRNA from 1 species